GACGAACGCUGGCGGCGUGCCUAAUACAUGCAAGUCGAACGCUUCUUUCCUCCCGAGUGCUUGCACUCAAUUGGAAAGAGGAGUGGCGGACGGGUGAGUAACACGUGGGUAACCUACCCAUCAGAGGGGGAUAACACUUGGAAACAGGUGCUAAUACCGCAUAACAGUUUAUGCCGCAUGGCAUAAGAGUGAAAGGCGCUUUCGGGUGUCGUUGAUGGAUGGACCCGCGGUGCAUUAGCUAGUUGGUGAGGUAACGGCUCACCAAGGCCACGAUGCAUAGCCGACCUGAGAGGGUGAUCGGCCACACUGGGACUGAGACACGGCCCAGACUCCUACGGGAGGCAGCAGUAGGGAAUCUUCGGCAAUAGACGAAAGUCUGACCGAGCAACGCCGCGUGAGUGAAGAAGGUUUUCGGAUCGUAAAACUCUGUUGUUAGAGAAGAACAAGGACGUUAGUAACUGAACGUCCCCUGACGGUAUCUAACCAGAAAGCCACGGCUAACUACGUG
rnacentral:rRNA from 1 species